CCAAUAGCGUAUAUUAAAGUUGCUGCAGUUAAAAAGCUCGUAGUUGAAUUUCGGGAUCAAUUUACUGGUCGUGCCUAUGGUACGUACUGGUAUUGUUGGUUCCUCCUUUCUGAGGAGCCGCGAUGUCAUUAACUUGGUGUCGCGGGGAAUCAGGACUGUUACUUUGAAAAAAUUAGAGUGUUUAAAGCAGGCUAACGCUUGAAUACAUUAGCAUGGAAUAAUGAAAUAGGACGUUUGAUUCUAUUCUGUUGGUUUCUAGGGUCGACGUAAUGAUUAAUAGGGAUAGUUGGGGGCAUUAGUAUUCAAUUGUCAGAGGUGAAAUUCUUGGAUUUAUUGAAGACUAACUACUGCGAAAGCAUUUGCCAAGGAUGUUUUCAUUAAUCAAGAACGAAAGUUAGGGGAUCGAAGACGAUCAGAUACCGUCGUAGUCUUAACCAUAAACUAUGCCGACUAGGGAUCGGAUGAUGUUAAUUUUUUAAUGACUCAUUCGGCGCCUUACG
rnacentral:rRNA from 1 species